GCCAGACUCCUACGGGAGGCAGCAGUGAGGAAUAUUGGUCAAUGGGCGCGAGCCUGAACCAGCCAAGUCGCGUGAGGGAUGACGGCCCUACGGGUUGUAAACCUCUUUUGCCGGGGAGCAAGCGUGCGUUCGUGAACGCGCGUCGAGAGUACCCGGAGAAAAAGCAUCGGCUAACUCCGUGCCAGCAGCCGCGGUAAUACGGAGGAUGCGAGCGUUAUCCGGAUUUAUUGGGUUUAAAGGGUGCGUAGGCGGGAUGCCAAGUCAGCGGUAAAAAUGCGGUGCUCAACGCCGGCGAGCCGUUGAAACUGGCGUUCUUGAGUGGGCGAGAAGUAUGCGGAAUGCGUGGUGUAGCGGUGAAAUGCAUAGAUAUCACGCAGAACUCCGAUUGCGAAGGCAGCAUACCGGCGCUCAACUGACGCUGAGGCACGAAAGCGUGGGGAUCGAACAGGAUUAGAUACCCGAGUA
rnacentral:rRNA from 1 species